rnacentral:rRNA from 1 species
AGUGAACGCUGGCGGUAGGCCUAACACAUGCAAGUCGGACGGCAGCACAGUAAGAGCUUGCUCUUACGGGUGGCGAGUGGCGGACGGGUGAGGAAUACAUCGGACUCUACUUUUUCGUGGGGGAUAACGUAGGGAAACUUACGCUAAUACCGCAUACGACCUACGGGUGAAAGCAGGGGAUCUUCGGACCUUGCGCGAUAGAAUGAGCCGAUGUCGGAUUAGCUAGUUGGCGGGGUAAAGGCCAACCAAGGCGACGAUCCGUAGCUGGUCUGAGAGGAUGAUCAGCCACACUGGAACUGAGACACGGUCCAGACUCCUACGGGAGGCAGCAGUGGGGAAUAUUGGACAAUGAGCGCAAGCCUGAUCCAGCCAUACCGCGUGGGUGAAGAAGGCCUUAGGGUUGUAAAGCCCUUUUGUUGGGAAAGAAAAGCAGCAGGUUAAUACCCCGCUGUUCUGACGGUACCCAAAGAAUAAGCACCGGCUAACUUCGUG